CAUUCCGAACAUGUAAGAGCUUAUGUUUAUUUGUCGUUUUUAUUGCAAGCAGCAUGACGCACAGGAGCAGACAUCACUUACAUCACUUCCGGGAAAUUUGAACAAAGAGCGCUCAGUUGCAGCAUGAAGAAUAAUCAAGCACCAUCACAACAGCAUUGUCUGGGGAUGUUGGUGCUGCCAUUCGGCCAGUAUCUGAAUGCCACAUUUCACUGGAUUGUGUCAAAUGAUGUGGGCUACAUGAAGUACCGGUAGCUAGUUAUCCUCCAGACAGUGACGGACCAUGUCUUUCUCUCAUUUCGGCCAUGUGGCGCGUGCCCGCUCGCGGUGUGAAGCGCGUCCACGCUAUUCUCCGAGAUGCACUUGACAGCCUUUUGU